rnacentral:misc_RNA from 1 species
AACGCACAUUGCGCCCUGUGGCAUUCCGCAGGGCAUGCCUGUUCGAGCGUCAUUAUAGCCACUCAAGUCUCGCUUGGUGUUGGGGUUCGCAACUUUGCGGCCUCUAAAAUCAGUGGCGGUGCCUGUAGGCUCUGAGCGUAGUAAUUCUCCUCGCUAUAGAGUCCUAUGAGUUCCUUGCCAAAACCCCCCAUACUUUUAUAGGUUGACCUCGGAUCAGGUAGGGAUACCCGCUGAACUUAA